rnacentral:rRNA from 1 species
CAGCAGCCACGGUAAAACGUAGGGUGCGAGCGUUAAUCGGAAUUACUGGGCGUAAAGCGUGCGCAGGCGGUUAUAUAAGACAGAUGUGAAAUCCCCGGGCUCAACCUGGGACCUGCAUUUGUGACUGUAUAGCUAGAGUACGGUAGAGGGGGAUGGAAUUCCGCGUGUAGCAGUGAAAUGCGUAGAUAUGCGGAGGAACACCGAUGGCGAAGGCAAUCCCCUGGACCUGUACUGACGCUCAUGCACGAAAGCGUGGGGAGCAAACGGGAUUAGAUACCCGCGUAGUCCCUGUCUCUUAUAC